GCGGGUAUGAUGUAGUGGUAACAUGAGAUCCUUCCAAGUUCUUCUCGCCGGUUCGAAUCCGGCUACCCGCU
rnacentral:tRNA from 2 species